AGUUUUAUAGUCAAUAAUGAUAUUAGACUGCAAUUCUAAAGGAAUAUAUAAAAAUAUAUUAAGACUU
rnacentral:tRNA from 1 species